GGGGUGUUAGGGUUAGGGUUUUUUUGGUUUUACGGAAAAUGUCUUAAGUGUUUUGGGCCACUAGGCCUCUUUUCAUUUGGGUUUGAUGUAUUUUUUUUAUUUAAGUCAUUUGGGCCUAUAAAUUUGGACUUAUUUAUUUAAUUUUUGGUUUAUUUUUUUUGUUGGCCCAUGAAAAUUUAGGCCAUUUCAGCUGCCCCUCUUUGCUCGUUAUCGUGUAACAAGAAUGGAGCAAAGGCUUUUAGGAAGGACCAAUUUAGCCCGGUCUCACCAAAUCUUGACUUCUUGGUGCUUAUCUUCUUCAAGUAGCCUCGUUU
rnacentral:lncRNA from 1 species